rnacentral:rRNA from 1 species
GCUUACAGCCAUAUCACGUUGAAAGCCCCGGUUCUCGUCUGAUCACCGAAGUUAAGCAACAUCGAGCCAAGUUAGUACUUAGAUGGGUCACCACUUGGGAAACCUAGGUGCUGUAAGCA